rnacentral:rRNA from 1 species
GACGAACGCUGGCGGUGCGCUUAACACAUGCAAGUCGAACGGAAAGGCCUGCUUUCCCUUGUGGAUUGCGGGUACUCGAGUGGCGAACGGGUGAGUAACACGUGAGUGAUCUGCCCCCAACUUGGGUAUAAGCCUGGGAAACUGGGUCUAAUUCCCGAUAGGACUGCAGGGUGGUGCCUGUGGUGGAAAACGAUUUUCUAGUGGUUGGGGAUGAGCUCGCGGCCUAUCAGCUUGUUGGUGGGGUAAUGGCCUACCAAGGCGGCGACGGGUAGCCGGCCUGAGAGGGUGGACGGCCACAUUGGGACUGAGAUACGGCCCAGACUCCUACGGGAGGCAGCAGUGGGGAAUAUUACACAAUGGGCGGAAGCCUGAUGCAGCGACGCCGCGUGGGGGAUGACGGCCUUCGGGUUGUAAACUCCUUUCGACCGCGAGGAAGCCACCUGGUUGGAAGGGUGGUGACGGUAGUGAUAGAAGAAGCACCGGCUAACUACGUG